AAAGUCUAGUCAAGGCGUAAACCAUCGAUUGUCAAACGACGAAUAUUAAACAAUUAAUAGUUCCAACGAUUGUUUUGCCGCUGUAGGCCAUACUCCUUAAGAUUUAACUAAGUACCUAUCCUGUGGGGAAAAGCGAGAGCUGUAUUCAUACCGAAAGCCGGCAAAGGAAGGGAAUAUCUUGGAAAGAAUAUACUUAUAGACCAAUAAGUUUAGCCUCAUUCCUUCUGAAGACAUUCGAAACGAUUCUAGAAAGAGCUCUAGAGAGAGAAAAUAACCGGUGGUGUUCUUUGCUUUGGUUUAAUGGACCGUUGCCAACAAAAUCUUAACAGAAUACCGCAGCUCGCUGUUCUCUGCAUAACGGGAGCGCUAAACAUCUAGGAGCGUCGCAGUUCAAGAGACUUGGCAAUACAAUGGAACAGUAUAUUUAUGUAAGAAUUUCCCGACUUUGUUCUUUGCAAAAUGCAAGAGUAUAAAAUGUCCUACACGCAAACUCUGGCCUUCGUUACUAAUUUUUUUUAAUAUUUGGUGGAUCUAUAGUAACAAAUAGUUUUGGAUUGUCAUAUUUAUGUCUGGAAUGGGAUAUCUAUCUGUUAUUGUAUAUUUUGUAUUUCCCUUUUAGGAACUCUCCAAGUUGAAAUAUAUGGAGUUUUGUGUGGUUGAGUUAUCUGAUUAUCGAGAAGUUUCUGAAUUUCUGUAUUAAUAAAUCACCAUCAUGACAUAGGAUUCAUAUCCUAUUGGAUUGCUGAAAGCUAAAA